AUAACUGUUAAAUUCUACCAAAUGUCCAAAUUGGACAAAUUGUGAAUUCAAAUAAUAAAUAAAAAAAAAUGUAUAUCUGGAACAUUUAUGCAGUUGUAGGCAAUUUAAAGAGUUACACAUAGCGUACUAUUCGAUUUUUCCUUACAAUUUAACAUAUACACACACGCAUUAAAAUCUCCUCAAUUUUCCGAAUGCUAGUAAAAUUUUUGUUUAUAAUAAAUAUGUUUAUAACAUUCUUCUUUCCACGUGUUUGCCUUGUAUUAGCAGCUUCUUUUUACGUAAAUGUCAUCCAUAUAAAAAACGUCUUGCGUAAAUCGAUAGAUGAGUUUAUUAUCUUUUUUGUCAAUUAAUAAGCGUGCAGGAUGUUAAUAAAGCGACUGAAGGGUUUAGAAGCUCAAUGUUCACAGAGUGAAGUAAAAAAUGCUUAACACGUUGAAUGCCACGGGGUCACCGGUGACAACUUGUCGGUAGUGUGACGUCGAUUCGAAAUUAUUUCACGUUCCGCGUGGGAGGUGAGAGAUUUGUAUUUCGAUUAGUACCAAAUUUAUUAAGAACUGACAGAGUACAAAAUGUUACAACAGAACAGAAUAGAAUAUUGCAGAGAGACACACUGGCUGAUUUCGGGAGCAGUAUAUAUAUGUAAACUCCCUAGAGUUCAUGUGGGAUAGGGAUUCUUUUUGUUUUACGGGUAGCACGACAGGCUUUGUUUCACGGACAGAGCGAUCUUCUUUUGUUUUACGGACAACCAUUUUUGAGAGGCACGCAUUUUCCCAAACGAACGGACAGAGAGUUACAUUAGAGACAGACAAGGUUACAGAAUAGUUAUUUAAGAUUUUAAAGACUGAAGAAGAAAGAUUGGUAGCUCAGGACGUUGAAAAUCGAUUCUCGAUUUUCAGACUACAGAAUCGAUCCCCGAAUUAUCCCAAGAUUUACGAUCUUACAUAUAUACCCUUUUAUUUGUUGGAGUAGGAGGAAGACCUUGGUCGUGUGGAUGUGUCAUAUGGUUGGAUGUUACUAUGGAUUUUGGUUGUACGGAUGUAUCAUGCCUAGGGGACUGGACGUUACCCUGGCGGUGACUUAUGAUAAGGCGGUUGGGACUGCCUAUCUUAUCACAUAGUCAGGCAAAUUUACCCUGUGACAGUAGCGCCGUGGGGGCCACUGGUAACCGACUCGCCAAUAUUAGUAGAAAUACAUAAUUUGAACAAAUGUCAAUAAUUAUAAAUUUUCCAUUAUUACCAUCGUUACUACAAUGGUGUGACGAAAUUAAUGCAAUAUAAAACAUAUAAAAAUAGUUUUAUUUAUACAUGAAAUAUAGAUCUAUUAUGUGCGCAUAUUGUUAUUAUCAUAUUAGAUAAACUGCUCGAGGAACUUUCCUCUGCCUGACAGUACUCGACAUCGUUUGGGGGGAUUUGGUAAAAAUGUAUCGUCAGUGGAAUUGCUUGACGCGUAAUCUCCAUUUGAAAUUAUAUUAACUUUAAGGGCUAACUAAAAAAUAGAAAACAUGAAGUGCAAAAAUUUGUGUAGUACAUAAAAGUAUAAUAAACGCUCUUGCCUGAUUGUUAGAUGCUCUCGACAAGAAUAAACACGUGGAACAAUUAUUUAGUAACAUAAAGAAACAGUAUAAGAUAAUUGAUAA